AAGUCGUAACAAGGUUUCCCGUAGGUGAACCUGCGGAAGGAUCAUUA
rnacentral:rRNA from 1 species